UGCUCUCGAGGGUCCUACUCAUGCUGAGCUUGUUACAGCUUACACCAACAAGGACAUGACAGAAGGGAUGCUACCCAACACCACCCCUCCUCCUCCUCCUUCCCUCUUCUCCCUCCUCUUCCUCCUUGCUGCCUCCUCCUCCUCGUUUCCCAGACCUUUUCCUUCUUGGAGCCUUGACCUACCAUGUGAGACCCUCGACCGCCUUUGAGUUUGCGUUGCUGGCAAGGCCUGGGAAGACAUCGGGUUAUCAGUCCCUGCAGAUACAAGACUCUCUCAGUCAGCCAUCCCGGCUAAGGAUUUAGGCUCUGCGGGAGAGAGUGCAGAAGAGAGCCUCCUGCUGGCUGCCUGCAGAAGUGAGCCUCUUCCUGGCUGCCUUUGGAUCAAGAUGGAGAACUCUUGGCUCCUCUAGCACCACAUCUGCCUGCACACUGCCGUGCUUCCUGCCAUGAUGAUAAUGGACUAACCUCUGAAACCAUAAGCCAGCCCCAAGUAAAUGUUAUCUUUUUGUGACCUUGAUCAGGGUGUCUCUUCACAGCAAUAAAGCCCGAACUAAGACCCCCAUCUCUUUUUAACAUUACUUUUUUGAAAUUUUUAUUCAGUGUUUUUGAUCUAAUUUACCUCCCUCCCCAAGAUCUACCCACUUUCCCUACCCACCCAAGUCUGUGUCCUCAUUUAAAGAAAAAAAACCAACUAGUUUGUUUCACCAAUAUAUUAUUGGCUGUGUGGCCUUACAAUGGAGCAUAAUCAACCUAGAAGGAACCACAUCCUUAAAGAAAACCAACCUUUCUCUCUCUCUCCCAGUAGCUCUCUAUUGUCAGACAAUACUAAAUAACACAAACAAAAAAAUCCUUGUGACCACCUUCCCUCUUCAUGCUGGGAUUUUGUCUGAGUUGAACAUGUUCAGGCCUCGUGCUUGCUACUAGAAGAGCUAGGAAUUCCCAAGUGUAACAGCUCUGCUGUGUUCUGGAGGGGAGCUGGGCUAUCUGUUAUACCACGGACACCCCACUGAGUUCUGACAACUCAGUUUCCUUGUAGACCCUGACACAUCAGGCUCUUGCAAUCUUGUUCUGUUACUUUGUGUGAUGGUUUGUAUAUGCUUGGUCCAG
rnacentral:lncRNA from 1 species